rnacentral:lncRNA from 1 species
UAGUUGGAACGCUAUAGAGGUGUGUAGAGCGCUCGAGUGUAGGUACUCGUAGGGUAUGGAUGAGAAUCAGCCGGGUGAGUGUUGGCAGUAGCACUGCAGCGUUGCUAAGUGUGAAGCGGGCCAUGGAUCACCCGUGGGGCUGGUGGCUUGCGUUGUUAAGGAUUUUAUUAAGUUGGUGACUUUCGUGAAGUUUUGGACGGAGUCUCGAAGAGUUAGAAGACGAAGUUUGAAGUAAGAAUUGGAGUUUGGCGAUCAAAGACUUUUGUCAGAUUUUUGGGAUCUCAGGUAUGAUUAUAAAUAAUUUGUGGUGAGAUUUUAUGGUUAAAAGAUGUUUAGAAGACUUAGAUUCUAUUUUUGUUGAU